rnacentral:rRNA from 1 species
AUUGAACGCUGGCGGCAUGCCUUACACAUGCAAGUCGAACGGCAUCGCGGGAAAGCUUGCUUUCCUGGCGGCGAGUGGCGAACGGGUGAGUAACACAUCGGAACGUACCGGCUAGUGGGGGAUAACCCGUCGAAAGACGGGCUAAUACCGCAUACGCUCUUCGGAGGAAAGCAGGGGACCUUUGGGCCUUGCGCUAGCCGAGCGGCCGAUGUCCGAUUAGCUAGUUGGUGGGGGAAAGGCCUACCAAGGCGACGAUCGGUAGCGGGUCUGAGAGGACGAUCCGCCACACUGGGACUGAGACACGGCCCAGACUCCUACGGGAGGCAGCAGUGGGGAAUCUUGGACAAUGGGGGCAACCCUGAUCCAGCAAUGCCGCGUGGGUGAAGAAGGCCUUCGGGUUGUAAAGCCCUUUCGGCAGGGAAGAAAUCGGCGGGGCGAAUAACCCUGCUGGAUGACGGUACCUGCAGAAGAAGCACCGGCUAACUACGUG